rnacentral:tRNA from 1 species
GGACAGGUGGCCGAGUGGUCGAAGGCGCUCCCCUGCUAAGGGAGUAGGCGAGGAAUCGUCUCGAGGGUUCGAAUCCCUUCCUGUCCGCCA